GUUGGUGUAGCUCAGUGGAGUUGGUGUAGAGUGCAUGAUUUGUAUGUAUGAUGUUCUGGGUCCUGGGUUCAAUCCCCAGGUUCACA